rnacentral:rRNA from 1 species
UACGUAGGGUGCAAGCGUUGCCCGGAAUUAUUGGGCGUAAAGAGCUCGUAGGCGGUUUGUUGCGUCGGCUGUGAAAUCCCGAGGCUCAACCUCGGGUCUGCAGUCGAUACGAGCAAACUAGAGUGUUGCAGGGGAGACUGGAAUUCCUGGUGUAGCGGUGAAAUGCGCAGAUAUCAGGAGGAACACCGGUGGCGAAGGCGGCUUCCUGGACACCAACUGACGCUGAGACGCGAAAGCGUGGGGAGCAAACAGG